UCAGACGAUGCGUCAUGCAUAUCAAUAAGCGGAGGAAAAGAAACUAACUAGGAUUCCCUUAGUAACGGCGAGUGAAGCGGAAAGAGCUCAAAUUUGAAAUCUUCAAGGUUUUACCUUGACGAAUUGUAGUUUAAAGAAGUGUUUUCUGUUGGAGUUUUGGUAAAAGUUCUUUGGAAAUAGGACAUCAUAGAGGGUGAGAAUCCCGUAUUUGACCAUUAUUUCAGCUGUGUGAUACACUUUCAAAGAGUCGGAUUGUUUGGGAAUGCAGUCCAAAAUGGGUGGUAAAUUUCAUCUAAAGCUAAAUAUUGGCGAGAGACCGAUAGCGAACAAGUACCGUGAGGGAAAGAUGAAAAGAACUUUGAAAAGAGAGUUAAACAGUACGUGAAAUUGUCAAAAGGGAAGCGUUUGACACCAGUGUUGUUUUCUCGAAAAUCAAUUAAAAAGAGUUGGAUUUUGUGUUGUAUUGACCUUAACAGCUUGCUUCACUCUUUUCCUGCUUUUUUUAAUGCACUUUUCGUUUAACAAGUCAACAUCAGUUUCUUUUGUUGUAAAAGGGUCAUUGGAAGGUGGCUUUCUCUUCGGAGAAAGUGUUUAUAGCCUUUGAUCUCUGCAAUCGGAGAGACUGAGGUCUGCAGCGUAGAUCCUUCGGGGUUAGAUACAUUUGUGCUAAGCUACAGCUUUUCAUAGACAACUUGUUGACUAUGUUUAGUCUUGUAACUUACCCGCUUAUGCUAUUUUACCUACGCUUAGGAUGUUGAUAUGCAUGACUGAUAU
rnacentral:rRNA from 1 species